UGGCUAUCUGAGAAGGUGGUGGCACCAGACUGCUGUGGCAGCUCUUCGUGCCUGGAGAUUCCCUGCGUGUGGGGGAACCCCAGCACCGGUGCCGCACAGUCCCCAGCAUCACAAAACCCUCGUGCACUGCCGCAUAUCUGCAACGCCAGCUGGUGCUCCCCAUUUGUGGCAGCCUCUCUGGAAGCUCCAAGGCGGUGGGUUAGGUCAGUGGUGGGCUCACCUGCGCAACUCCUUCACCUAUUGAGCAAGCAGCUCUGGCUCAAGGAGCAGGUAAAAACCACAAAGAAUCGCAUGGCUGGCAAAAACAAGUCAGAAAACACACAGGAGGUCUGAGGUUCAACUCCCCAGCGUGGCAACAUCACCUUGGUUUCGUUGGCUCAAGUAACAUGGGCAUUUGGGAGGGAAAGUGAACGUAACCCAUCACACUUCUCUUUCCAGUAAAGAGAUUUACAAGCACAUCAUCUCGAAUGUGGAAGGCGAGGAAGAGCUGAUCCCCAGGGCAACAGACCCUGAUGGACAUCCCAGCUCUUCCUCUUUCCCCUCCCUCGGCUGCCGGGGGGGGGGUGUGGGGAGGGGGGGAGCCAUUUUCCCAGCAGUUGCUCCUGCCUUAACACCUCUUCCUCAGUUUGCUGACCUGCUGAAUGAGAGACGGGACGAUCUCCAGGGCACAUGGCGAAGAUUUGCUUAUUGCCUGGCUAGGACCUUGUUCCCCGCAAGAUGGAUGGGGGUUUCGUCCCAGGUGUCAAGGAGAAGUCGUCUUCAGAGUCAUGUCCAGUAUUACCAUAAAAGGUUGAAAAUCUUGCUGAUGAUAGCAUGGAUCUGCAAAUCGGCUAUGCAGUUUAAUCAAGAAAACUGAUAGGGAAAAAAUGAGCCAUUUCGCAAGGGAGGAGAUGUUUGUAAGCAUUUAAAUGGUUCUAUGUUUGAUCACACAAAAAUAAGCUGUUUCUAUGAUGUGAGGUUGCAGGAAACCCAAGGGACUAUUAUUCUGCGCUGUAAUGAGGGCUCAACAAGAUCAAAGAUCCCUUGUACUCAGCACUGAACAUAGGAAAAAACAAAGAGAUUCUCCCCGUUAUGUCUAGAUAGACCAGGCAGAGACAAGAAGCGUUAGUAUAAUCCUCGUUUUACAGAUGACAGAUUGGGCAGGCAGGCAGAUUAGGGCUUUUCUAUGCAGGGAAGUGACUGUGGAAUGAACUCUUGGUGUGAACUGAAAAAGCGACACCUCUCACACAGGUGGAGGCUGUAUCCAGACCAGAUGGACACUGCGCUCGGUAACACACAUUGAGUCCCCAUUGCCCGGCAGCGUGGGUGGGGGACCAGACUGGAACCCCUUUCCCUCCAGUAGCAACUGGGGUCUAGAGACAGGGAGGGCAGUGGCUCUUCUUUAUCAUAGUAAUGUUAGACAGCUACAGCUGAGCUGCUCACCCUGGGCUCCUUUGCAGUUAGCAUAAAUUAAGAGGUGCUUUGGAGGCACAUUUCACCUGAUCUCAUCUGACAUUUUGCUAAGGGUUGGAUGAAUCCCCUGCAAACCAUGCUCAAGGUGACUGCCCCAGGUGUAAAUACCCAUAGUAGACAUGAUUUUGCCGUGCAUAUGGAGUAAAUGCAUGUGCAUGGGGUAAACGUAGAUAGCUUUUCCCGUCCCUUUCCUAGUAUGGUCAAGUCCUCAGUGACUUGGCAAGGGUCACACAGAAAGACUGCGGUGGAGCUGAGGAAAGGACCAAUGCUCCAAAGCUGCAGGUUCAAUGUCCAGACAACAUGAUUCCCUUCUAAGCACAGAGGCAGAGUUGCCUGGAAAUUAGAAUUUCCGUCCUCCAGGGAAUGUCCACAUUUGCUUUCUAUUUAUCAUUCCGAAUCUGAGCAAAACUAUAAAAUUUUAAAAUAUUUGAUUUAAAACUCAUUCAGUCUGACACCACUGAAACAUUUCACUUUGAUAAUGUCAAAACUGAGUAUAACAAAUGGGCAGGCAGCAUAAAUCCCAGCACAAUAAAAUAUAACACACAUUGAAAAUGUUUCA
ensembl:lncRNA